AGAGUUUGAUCCUGGCUCAGGACGAACGCUGGCGGCGUGCUUAACACAUGCAAGUCGAGCGAUGAAGCUUCUUCGGAAGUGGAUUAGCGGCGGACGGGUGAGUAACACGUGGGUAACCUGCCCUAUAGUGGGGAAUAGCCUUUCGAAAGGAAGAUUAAUACCCCAUAAGAUUGUAGUUCCGCAUGGAACAGCAAUUAAAGGAGCAAUUCGCUAUAGGAUGGACCCGCGGUGCAUUAGCUAGUUGGUGAGGUAACGGCUCACCAAGGCGACGAUGCGUAGCCGACCUGAGAGGGUGAUCGGCCACAUUGGGACUGAGACACGGCCCAGACUCCUACGGGAGGCAGCAGUGGGGAAUAUUGCACAAUGGGGGAAACCCUGAUGCAGCAACGCCGCGUGAGUGAUGACGGUCUUCGGAUUGUAAAGCUCUGUCUUCAGGGACGAUAAUGACGGUACCUGAGGAGGAAGCCACGGCUAACUACGUGCCAGCAGCCGCGGUAAUACGUAGGUGGCAAGCGUUGUCCGGAUUUAUUGGGCGUAAAGAGUGCGUAGGUGGUUACCUAAGCAGGGGGUGAAAGGCAGUGGCUCAACCAUUGUUAGCCCCCUGAACUGGGCUACUUGAGUGCAGGAGAGGAAAGCGGAAUUCCUAGUGUAGCGGUGAAAUGCGUAGAUAUUAGGAGGAACACCUGUGGCGAAGGCGGCUUUCUGGACUGUUACUGACACUGAGGCACGAAAGUGUGGGGAGCAAACAGGAUUAGAUACCCUGGUAGUCCACACCGUAAACGAUGAGCACUAGGUGUCGGGGUCGCAAGGCUUCGGUGCCGCAGUUAACGCAUUAAGUGCUCCGCCUGGGGAGUACGUACGCAAGUAUGAAACUCAAAGGAAUUGACGGGGACCCGCACAAGCAGCGGAGCAUGUGGUUUAAUUCGAAGCAACGCGAAGAACCUUACCAGGACUUGACAUCCCGAUGACCGGUCCUUAACCGGGCCUUCUCUUCGGAGCAUCGGUGACAGGUGGUGCAUGGUUGUCGUCAGCUCGUGUCGUGAGAUGUUGGGUUAAGUCCCGCAACGAGCGCAACCCUUGUCAUUAGUUGCCAUCAUUAAGUUGGGCACUCUAGUGAGACUGCCGGGGACAACUCGGAGGAAGGUGGGGAUGACGUCAAAUCAUCAUGCCCCUUAUGUUCUGGGCUACACACGUGCUACAAUGGUUGGUACAAAGAGCAGCAAAGUCGUGAGGCGGAGCAAAUCUCAAAAACCAAUCCCAGUUCGGAUUGCAGGCUGCAACUCGCCUGCAUGAAGUUGGAGUUGCUAGUAAUCGUGGAUCAGAAUGCCACGGUGAAUGCGUUCCCGGGUCUUGUACUCACCGCCCGUCA
rnacentral:rRNA from 1 species